AUGAAGAGGCGAUGUUCAAACGCGCAGAAUGCUUGCUUUAAGAAACGUGUGAUCAGAGGAAGGAUGCUAAAUCCCGGUUCCGCUGCUUUGGGUACCAAAAUCUUGCGAAGCGACACCAGCUUGACUCUGCUGCUGGAAUGUGAUGUGAAGUUCUGCUCACUGCACUCUCAGCACAAGUCCUGAAUUAGAGAAAGCCCUAAGAAGUACACCUAAAAUGAUUAGAGAAAUGAGGGAAGGAGAAAUUUACUUGGCCUUCAUCUCUCUGGCCACACCCAGUGAUCAAACCCAGGCCCCGGCAGUGGAAGCAUGGAGUCCUAACUAUUGGACCACCAGGGAAUUCCCCCUUUGCAUUGCUUUAACCAAUCCUAACAAACUCAUUAAUCCCAAAGUUAAUAUUUAUUAACUCAAGAGGGAUUUGGACAAAUGUAUGAAUGAUCACUAUUACUUAAAAGAAGCUAUUACAUACCUCAUCUUCAAUGUUGAUGACAAUAAGCACUAUUAUGUUCUAUCUUUGUUAGAAUCCCUGCUAUGAUACUUACAAGAUGCAAGAUAGACAAGUCAUUUAAGCUCUCAAAUUCUCAGAUUUCUCAUCUAUAAGCAAGGGACCAUAACAUUAUUAGCUGUCUCAUAAGAUUGUAGUGAGGAUCGUGUGAGAUAUUUACAUAAAACACAUAGUAUAUUAUAACAGUUUCUUUUUUCUAGGUUCACUUUACCAAUAGAACACUGAGCUGAGUGAACCAUGAAUUAUCAGCAUAGCAGUUCUUAAAUUCCUCUGUACUAUCAUGCUACCAGCACUAAUAAACAUUUUCCUCUGUGCUGCUCUUGAAGUUACAUCCUUAUGGACUCACCCCAUGUUUCUGCCUCUCCUAACUCUUGUGUUUUCACUAUAUGAUCCAGUAACUUGAUUCCAAUUCUUGCUUACUGUCUCUAAUGCAAUCCCAGCUUUUGACCUCUGUGUUUCUAGUAUGUUUACCUGAUAUCAUGAAAUCCAUUUAAAUAUCUGUUCCAAAUCCUUCUUAAAAAAUAUAUCUUAGAUGUUUUGCUUUGUGUAAGCAACACAGGUCUGUUAAAAGUCCUGAAGAGUUUUUAUUAGAGUAGUAUGUAAAAGAUACAGAUUGCUGAAUUUUGCUUAGUUUACCUUGGCCAAAGGAAAGUAAAUAAAACAUCACAUAAAAUUAUUAAACCUGUUAUGUCCAGUUAGAAAAUAUAAGGUUGAGGAAGAGUUUUUAGUCUUCUUUAGUAUUACAUUGGAAAGUCUCCUCUUUAUAGGUAAACAUGGAAACAUGCCAUAUGCCUUUUGGGCAAGCUUGUCUUACAAUAAUUAUUUUCCUCUUCUUGCAGUAUGUGAGAGAAAAUGAUGAAAUAGGGCCUUUUCAAGCAAAAUCCAAAUUCCUAAAAGGAAAACCUAGGCAACUAUCGCGUUACCUCUAAGCAGGCUAUACCUGUGAGAGAAAAAAAAAACAAUGUUAAUGGCAUUUCAGUAAAGCCUGUUAAAGGAAUUACAGUAUCAAGAUAGAUUAAAACUCCAGGAGAAAAGAUAAAUUCCAAAACGGUUUAGAUUCUGUAUUUCCUUAAACAGAAUAAUAUAGAAACAUUUGGACCAAAAUCUGUGUCUAAAACGAAGGUUGGAAUGAAAUGAUAAAGAAUCAAGUUGGGCAUCUACCAAAGUCUAUAUUUGUUUACCUUAAUUUUUGCUUCAAUUUUGCUUCAAAUCUUCAUCACUAUACAUGGCAAAGUGUGGUUGUUACAGGUUUAUGGUUUUUUGU